AACCUUCGGGUUAGUGGCGGACGGGUGAGUAACGCGUGGGAAUCUGCCCUCAGGAGGGGGAUAACGGUUGGAAACGGCCGCUAAUACCCCAUAUGCCGAGAGGUGAAAUGAAUUUCGCCUGAGGAUGAGCCCGCGUCUGAUUAGCUAGUUGGUGAGGUAAGAGCCCACCAAGGCAUCGAUCAGUAGCUGGUCUGAGAGGAUGAUCAGCCACACUGGGACUGAGACACGGCCCAGACUCCUACGGGAGGCAGCAGUGGGGAAUUUUCCGCAAUGGGCGAAAGCCUGACGGAGCAACGCCGCGUGAGGGAUGAAGGCCUCUGGGCUGUAAACCUCUUUUAUCAAGGAAGAAGAUCUGACGGUACUUGAUGAAUAAGCCACGGCUAAUUCCGUGCCAGCAGCCGCGGUAAU
rnacentral:rRNA from 1 species